rnacentral:rRNA from 1 species
AUGGCGCCUGCGGUGACCGCUGCACUAGGCGCGAUGGGUCCCUUGCUGGGGAAGCUCUCCGAGUUGCUUGCCAAUGAGUGCGGCCGCCUCAAAAGGGUCCGCCGUGAGAUUCGCUCCCUCCGGACAGAGUUUACCAGCAUGCAUGCCGCUCUACAGAAGUACGCCAAGCUAGAGGACCCUGAUGACCAGGUCAAGCAAUGGGUAUCGCUGGUGAGGGAGUUGGCCUAUGAUACUGAGGAUCUUUUCGACAAGUUCAUUCGCCACCUCGGCAAUGGUGAGAGUCAUGAUGGCGGCUUCAAGGAGUACUUCCGCAAGACUGCUCGGCGUCUAAAGACGCUUGGAGCUCGGCGUGGGAUUGCCAGCCAAAUCGAUGACCUGAAGCUUCAUAUCAACGAAGUGAAAGAGCUCAAGACCAGCUACAAGCUGGAUGAUGUUGCUUCUAGCACCCCGGUCCAUACAACCACCGUGGAUCCCCGGUUGGCUGCUCUUUUCGCCGAGGAGGCACACCUUGUUGGCAUUGAUGGUCCAAGAGACGAGCUUGACAAGUGGAUGUUGGAAGAAGAAAACAAGCAUCAUCGCAGGGUGUUGUCGAUUGUUGGGUUUGGUGGAUUGGGAAAGACAACGCUGGCGAAUGAAGUCUACCGCAAGAUUCAAGGGCAUUUUGAUUGUCAUGCUUUUGUGUCGGUCUCGCAAAAGCCAGAUACAAAGAAAAUCAUCAAGGAUUUAAUCUCACAGGUGUCUUGCAAUGCUGAAUUCACAAAAGAUAUGGAUACUUGGGAUGAAAAGAAAUCCAUUGCAAAGCUAAGAGAACUUUUAAAAGAGAAGAGGUAUCUUGUUAUCAUUGAUGAUAUAUGGUCUAUAGUGGCAUGGAAGGCUAUCAAUUGUGCAUUUCCAGAGAACAGCUGUUCUAGCAGAAUUGUAGCCACUACACGCAUAUUGGAAGUAGCUAGCUCUUGUUGUCCAGGUCCUGAUGACCAGAUCUAUCAAAUGAAACCUCUAUGUGAUCCUCACUCUGAAAGACUAUUUUUCAGAAGAAUCUUUGGCUCAGAGAAUUGCUGCCCUAAUAUGUUUAUUGAAGUUUCAAAAGCUAUCUUGAAAAAGUGUGGAGGCCUACCAUUGGCAAUUAUCAGUAUUUCUGGUCUACUAGCAAACAGACCACGUGUGAAAGAAGAGUGGGAGAAGGUAAAAAGAUCAAUUGGUUCUGACUUGAACAAAAGCCAAAGUCUAGAAGGAAUGAGGAACAUGCUAUCCUUGAGCUAUAAUGAUCUUCCACCAAACCUCAAGACCGUCUUGUUGUACUUAAGUAAUUUUCCGGAAGAUUAUGUGAUUGACAGAGAAAGGUUGGUGAGGCAAUGGAUUGCGGAAGGCUUUAUUUCUGAAGAGCGUGGGAGGAGCUGUCAAGAGGUUGCAGAAAGUUAUUUUUACGAGCUUAUCAAUAAAAACCUGGUCCAACCAGUGGGCAUUGGUUAUGAUGGGAUGGUUCGUGCCUGUCGAGUUCAUGACAUGAUGCUUGAACUUAUCAUUUCAAAAUCCAUUGAAGAAAAUUUCAUCACUGUGGUGAACGGCAGUCAAACUGUUUGGGGAAAUUCUCAGUGUUCUAUUCGACGUUUAUCGAUCCAAGACAUUGACCAGGAGCUUGCAUAUGAAUUGGCAAGGAAAGAUCUAAGCCAUGUCCGGUCUCUUAUAAUAACAGCAUCAGGUUGCAUCAAACACUUGCCCAGUCUAACAAAGUUUGAAGCUUUACGUGUACUAGAUUUUGAAGAUUGCCGGGGCGUGGCACAGUAUGAUAUGGAUGGUAUGGAAAACCUGUUCCAGCUAAAGUACCUAAGCUUUUGCGGAACAGGUAUAUCGGAGCUACCAUCUAGAAUUGUGAUGCUACAUGAUCUAGAGACGCUAGAUUUAAGGGGUACAACAAUCAAAGACUUGCCGCCUAGAAUUGUUCAGCUCACGAAACUACAACAUCUACUCGGUUACGCUUACGUAGAUGAGUGGAAGAUACCAAUCGGGAUUGGGAAUAUGACAAACUUAAGGGAGAUCUCAGGCUUUGAUAUUACCAUGAGUUCAGUAGGUGCAGUGAAGGAGCUAGGGAGCCUGAUCAAUUUGAAGGUACUUCGUGUACGGUUCAUCGUGAAAGAUGAAGAAUCUCAAGAGUACAAGAGUCAUGCAGAGAUGUUUCAUUCCUCACUAUGCAAGCUUGGCAGCUACAAACUCCAGUCCGUGUGGAUAAAUGGUGAUAAUUCAUCUCUAUUCGAGUUAUUAGAUUCCUGGUCUCCUCUUCCAACUCACCUCCAAAGAUUUGGGACGGGCACCGAGUACUGUUUAUCAAAACUGCCAAAAUGGAUUACUCCAGCACUCACCAGUCUUGCAGACCUAGCCAUCAAUUUAAGUGUAAUAACAGAGGAGGUUCUUGGCAUACUUGGAGAGCUGUCUGCAUUACUUUCUCUGAGACUUUAUACCAACACGGUCCAUGAAGACAGGCUUGUUUUGCAAGGCAGAGGAUUCCGAUGUUUGAAGGAGUUCCUUUAUUAUCCUUUUGGUGAAGGUGCAGGGACCCUUCUGUUUGAGGAAGGGGCAUUGCCAAAGCUCGAGAAGCUUAUGCUGUGGUUCUUUGUAUCAAUGGCAAAGGUCUAUGGAUUCUACUUAGGACUUGAGCACCUCCCAUAUCUAAAAGAUGUACACGUUAUUCUACAGAACGGGGAUGCCAUAAUAAAAGCUGCAGUAGUUGCCAUAAGGAAUGAAGCAAACCUCCAUCCCAACCAUCCCAGGUUAACUCUCCAUGAAAAAAAAAUGAAAGAAUGA